rnacentral:rRNA from 1 species
UCUAUUGGCGAUAAGCCAUUGAAUUCACCAGUUUCUAAACGCUCACGGAAGUUAAGCAAUGUUGCGCGUGAUGGUACCAGAAUGGGUGGGAUUGUGGGUGAUCAUGUGCUGAUGGGU